UACGUAGGGGGCAAGCGUUGUCCGGAUUUAUUGGGCGUAAAGCGCGUGUAGGCGGCCAGAUAGGUCUGCUGUGAAAACUCGAGGCUCGAACCUCGAGCUGUCGGGCGGAAACCAGUCUGGCUAGAGUCCGGAAGGAGGAGAGUGGAAUUCCUGGUGUAGCGGUGAAAUGCGCAGAUAUCAGGAGGAACACCAAGUGGCGAAGGCAGCUCGCUGGAACGGUACUGACGCUGAGGCGCGAAAGCGUGGGGAGCAAACAGG
rnacentral:rRNA from 1 species